CACGUUCGAUUGCGCGCUCUUCCCGCCUCCCAGAGCUGCGGGUGUGCUGGCAACAAGUUGGAUUGUGUGUCAAACAAUUCAGCAUAGCAAGUUUGUAGGAAGGUCUGGUUAUUAAAUGGGUAAAAUAGUUUAAUCCAUUCUCCUUUUAAUGAAUUUAUUCACAGGUAACUAGCAAACAGCCAUGGAAGAGGGUGAAAGGAUAGCAGCUCCAGCUGUCAAAGAAGGGAGAGAACAGGCUAUUCUGGAUAGGGCAGGUUCUGUUGUGGUUCCGGUCCCUAGAGAGAAAGAGCUGUGAAAGCCUGUCCGCAGAUGAAGAGGUCCCAAU